rnacentral:rRNA from 1 species
AAACCUGAGAAACCCAAAAGUUCGAAUGGAGAGAUUCAUCGUCAGCGAUCCUGGCAAUUGUGCGGUUCGCGAUGUCGGGGCUUCGGCCCUGCGGCACUCGUCCGUACGAUUUAUUUGCCGGGUGUCGUCGUCGUGCACUUCUCCCCUAGUAGGACGUCGCGACCCGUUGGGUGUCGGUCUACGACCCGGGUGGGCGCCCGUCAUACGUCACGCUUCACGGCGUCGUGUGGCGGACCCCCGGUUGUCCGACCAGCUGCCCGGCGGUACUCGCACGGUAUUGAGUCGCAAUUGAACUGCGUCCGGCCCGCCGCAAGCGAGGCCAGUGCUUCCCGGAUGUACGGACUUAGCGCCGUCACCGGGCCUGGCCAGCUGUUGGCCGGCGGUGUCCUAGGACUGGCUCUAUAUACCGGUCGGCGACGCUACUGCUUUGGGUACUUUCAGGACCCGUCUUGAAACACGGACCAAGGAGUCUAACAUGUGCGCGAGUCAUUGGGUUAUGUUAAGCCUAAAGGCGCAAUGAAAGUGAAGGUAGGCCUUGCGCCAACCGAGGGAGGAUGGGCCGCGUCACGAUGCGGUCCCGCACUCCCGGGGCGUCUCGUUCUCAU